GAUGAACGCUAGCGGCAGGCUUAAUACAUGCAAGUCGAGGGGUAGCAAGAUUGUAGCAAUACAAUUGUUGACGACCGGCAAACGGGUGCGGAACACGUACACAACCUUCCUACAAGUGGGGAAUAGCCCAGAGAAAUUUGGAUUAAUACCCCGUACAUAGCGAUGUGGCAUCACAUUGCUAUUAUAGCCUCGGCGCUUGUUGAUGGGUGUGCGGCUGAUUAGAUAGUUGGCGGGGUAACGGCCCACCAAGUCUACGAUCAGUAGCUGAUGUGAGGGCAUGAUCAGCCACACGGGCACUGAGACACGGGCCCGACUCCUACGGGAGGCAGCAGUAAGGAAUAUUGGACAAUGGACGCAAGUCUGAUCCAGCCAUGCCGCGUGAAGGAUUAAGGUCCUCUGGAUUGUAAACUUCUUUUAUAAGGGACGAAAAAAGGUCUUUCUAGAUCGUCUGACGGUACCUUAUGAAUAAGCACCGGCUAACUCCGUGCCAGCCGCCGCAGUAAAAC
rnacentral:rRNA from 1 species